rnacentral:misc_RNA from 1 species
GCAAACUUGGUCAUUUAGAGGAAGUAAAAGUCGUAACAAGGUCUCCGUAGGUGAACCUGCGGAGGGAUCAUUACUGAGUGAGGGCCUCCGGGUCCGACCUCCAACCCUUUGUGAACCAAUCUUGUUGCUUCGGGGGCGACCCUGCCGCUUCGGCGGUGCGGCGCCCCCGGAGGCCAUCAAACACUGCAUCAUUGCGUCGGAGUAAAAGUAAAUGAAACAAAACUUUCAACAACGGAUCUCUUGGUUCCAGCAUCGAUGAAGAACGCAGC